rnacentral:rRNA from 1 species
UACGUAGGGUGCAAGCGUUGUCCGGAAUUAUUGGGCGUAAAGAGCUCGUAGGCGGUUUGUUGCGUCGGCUGUGAAAUCCCGAGGCUCAACCUCGGGUCUGCAGUCGAUACGAGCAAACUAGAGUGUUGCAGGGGAGACUGGAAUUCCUGGUGUAGCGGUGAAAUGCGUAGAUAUCAGGAGGAACACCUGUGGCGAAAGCGGCUCACUGGACCACAACAUGACGCUGAUGACACGAAAGCUAGGGGAG